rfam:Bombyx mori DNA, contig: Bm_scaf31_contig19606, strain: p50T/Dazao, build 2, whole genome shotgun sequence.
UUAACUCAAAUUUGUAUGGAGUCGGAACAUUUGCCUACGUUUACCGCAAGGGGCGCUGUUCCAAUUGUAUACAAAUAUGAGUUA